UACAUGGGGUGCAAACGUUGCUCGGAAUUAUUGGGCGUAAAGCGCACGUAGGUGGUCGCUUAAGUCGAACGUGAAAUCCCUGGGCUCAACCCAGGAACUGCGUCCGAUACUGGUUGGCUUGAAUCCGGGAGAGGGAUGUGGAAUUCCAGGUGUAGCGGUGAAAUGCGUAGAUAUCUGGAGGAACACCGGUGGCGAAGGCGGCAUCCUGGACCGGCAUUGACGCUGAGGCGCGAAAGCCAGGGGAGCAAACGGG
rnacentral:rRNA from 1 species